UUCAUGUCCUGUAAUAGUGUGUGUAUAUAUUGCCUUGCUAUAGACAGCUGGCCUGUUCAAUAAAGAAAAACAUGCUGCCAGCAAGUCAUCAGCAAUGAAGAUGUACCUCAUUCCUUUCACACUUUGGAUUUCAACAUUGACACACCCUGUGUUUGCUACAGUAUAUAGACAGUAAACAGGCAAGACUCUAACUCACUGUGCAGAACUGUCUGAAGUAAUACUGACAAAUAUAUAGCAGCUUAUCCAUACUCUGCUCAGGAUGGUACAAAUGCCGGAUGGGAUAUAUUAUAAAUUCACAGAUGGAAAGAAAACCUCGGAAUUCUUUAUACCAACUACGAUAGUUUUAAACAUUCUGGACGUUUUCCUAGGGGUGGUCAGGCUGCUUUUAAAACUUCACAAAAUAGAAGAAUGAACUACAGGACUCACGUCAAUAAAUUCCAACGUGUCAAGAAGACAAACAAAAUAUAAGUUGGAUACUAUGAAGUUAGUUUCCAUAUUCAAUCAAGCGUUAGCCUUAGUUUUAAUGUGAUUGGAACAGUUAAAAUGGCACUAAAUAAAUUUACCUACAUUAACUACACUGCUUUUUACCUUUUUUAUCCAAUAAUUUCUAUUUUAGUUGUCUCUGCAACGACUACUGUUAAACACGGGUUAUUUUUAACCUCCAGCU